rnacentral:rRNA from 1 species
GACGAACGCUGGCGGCGUGCUUAACACAUGCAAGUCGAACGGAAAGGCCCUGCUUUUGUGGGGUGCUCGAGUGGCGAACGGGUGAGUAACACGUGAGUAACCUGCCCUUGACUUUGGGAUAACUUCAGGAAACUGGGGCUAAUACCGGAUAGGAGCUCCUGCUGCAUGGUGGGGGUUGGAAAGUUUCGGCGGUUGGGGAUGGACUCGCGGCUUAUCAGCUUGUUGGUGGGGUAGUGGCUUACCAAGGCUUUGACGGGUAGCCGGCCUGAGAGGGUGACCGGCCACAGUGGGAUGGGGGAGGGGCCCAGACUCCUACGGGAGGAAGGGGGGGGGAAUUUUGCAAAAGGGGCGGAGGGCGGAGGGAAGAACGGCGGGGGGGGGAUGACGGCUUUUGGGGUGUAAACCGUUUUCGCUUGGGCGGAAGCGGGGGGGAGGGUAAUGGGAAAAAAAGCACGGGUUAACCAGUG